rnacentral:rRNA from 1 species
CCCUUAGAUGUUCUGGGCCGCACGCGCGCUACACUGACGGAUUCAACGAGCUUACAACCUUGGCCGAAAGGUCUGGGUAAUCUCCAAAAUCCGUCGUGAUGGGGAUAGAUUAUUGCAAUUAUUAAUCUUCAACGAGGAAUGCCUAGUAAGCGCAAGUCAUCAGCUUGCGUUGAUUACGUCCCUGCCCUUUGUACACACCGCCCGUCGCUCCUACCGAUUGAAUGGUCCGGUGAAGCGUUUGGACUAUGGUUUUCUGAUGGUCCGCCGUUGGAUUACCGUGGGAAGUUCGUUAAACCUUAUCAUUUAGAGGAAGGGGAAGUCGUAACA